UGGGCGUAAGCGCACGCAGGCGGUCUGUCAAGUCGGAUGUGAAAUCCCCGGGCUCAACCUGGGAACUGCAUCCGAAACUGGCAGGCUUGAGUCUUGUAGAGGGGGGUAGAAUUCCAGGUGUAGCGGUGAAAUGCGUAGAGAUCUGGAGGAAUACCGGUGGCGAAGGCGGCCCCCUGGACAAAGACUGACGCUCAGGUGCGAAAGCGUGGGGAGCAAACAGGAUUAGAUACCCUGGUAGUCCACGCCGUAAACGAUGUCGACUUGGAGGUUGUGCCCUUGAGGCGUGGCUUCCGGAGCUAACGCGUUAAGUCCACCGCCUGGGGAGUACGGCCGCAAGGUUAAAACUCAAAUGAAUUGACGGGGGCCCGCACAAGCGGUGGAGCAUGUGGUUUAAUUCGAUGCAACGCGAAGAACCUUACCUGGUCUUGACAUCCACAGAACUUUCCAGAGAUGGAUUGGUGCCUUCGGGAACUGUGAGACAGGUGCUGCAUGGCUGU
rnacentral:rRNA from 2 species